AAGCCACACUCUGGGGCAGAUGACUUUCUUCUGUCACAAUUUUUCGCUUGCUAAAUUAAUCACAAGCCUAAGAUUACAGUAUUUUCUUUGAGAAAUGUACUAUUCUGUAGGCUAUUGACAUU